UAUCAUAAAUAUUACAAAAUAAUUUAUCAAACAUUUAAAAAAUUAAAAGCAACAAAAACAGUCAAUAUAUAUAUACAUGGUUGAGAAUUCAAAAGGUACUUAAGGGUAAACAAUGAAAAAAACAGAACUCAACCACCUAUGGGCCACCAUCCAGUUCCCUUCUCCAGAGACAAAACUGUUAAUCGGUGUCAUACAUAUAUUUUCUUUUUCUUUUUUUUUUGAGACUGGGUCUUACUUGGUCACCCAGGCUGGAGUGCAGUGGCAUGACCUUGGCUCACUGCAGCCUUGACCUCCCAGGUGAAGCCAUCCUCCUGCCUCAGCCCCCUAAGUAGCUGGGAUUAAAGGUGCACACCACCAUGCCUGGCUAAUUUUUGUAUUUUUUGUAGAGAUGGGUUUUCGCCAUGUUGAUCAGGCUGGUCGCAAACUCCUGGACUCAAGUGAUCAGCCCACCUUGGCCUGCCUUAGCCCCACAAAUGCUGGGAUUACAGGCCUGAGCCACCGUGCCCGGCCUAGAGUUUUGCAUUUUCAUAAAGUCAGGCAUGCCAAUCAUUUUCCU
rnacentral:lncRNA from 10 species